rnacentral:rRNA from 1 species
GACGGAGGGUGCAAACGUUGCUCGGAAUUACUGGGCGUAAAGCGCGUGUAGGCGGGCCUUCAAGUCGGACGUGAAAUCCCUGAGCUCAACUCAGGAACUGCAUCCGAAACUGAAGGCCUGGAGUAGUGGAGAGGGAAGCAGAAUUCCUGGUGUAGAGGUGAAAUUCGUAGAUAUCAGGAGGAACACCGGUGGCGAAGGCGGCUUCCUGG